rnacentral:rRNA from 1 species
AUCCUACGGGAGGCAGCAGUGGGGAAUAUUGCACAAUGGGGGAAACCCUGAUGCAGCCAUGCCGCGUGUGUGAAGAAGGCCUUGGUUGUAAAGCACUUUCUAGUAGGGAGGAAGGUAGUGUAGUUAACACCUGCAUUAUUUGUACGUUACCUACAGAAGAAGCACCGGCUAACUCCGUGCCAGCAGCCGCGGUAAGUACGGAGGGUGCGAGCGUUAAUCGGAAUUACUGGGCGUAAAGCGCAUGCAGGCGGCCUGUUAAGUCAGAUGUGAAAGCCCGGGGCUUAACCUCGGAAUUGCAUUUGAAACUGGCAGGCUAGAGUCUUGUAGAGGGGUUAGAAUUUCAGGUGUAGCGGUGAAAUGCGUAGAGAUCUGAAGGAAUACCAGUGCGAAGCGGCCCCUGGAC